rnacentral:lncRNA from 7 species
CUUUGCAGCAUACUUCCAUGCUCUACAGAGUCUCGAAGAAAGCAGCAGCAGGAAGCUUAGACUCCAUUUCCCACUCUUUCCCAGCUAUAAUGAAGAUGUCCUGCUAGCAGAUGUUAUAUGACAGCAUCCUAGUAUUCAUUGUAAUACUGGGGAAGUAGCAGCAGAAAUGGAAAGCCCCUUGUCUUCAAGAAACCAGCAUCUACUGGAGAGGACAGGGCUGGAGAUGCUGCCAAAAGAGCCACAGAAGCAUGAUGCAAACUGUAUCCUCUUGCUGGGCUUUGGGAACUGCUCAGCUUUCAGCUGGGUUUGUGCCACUCAGGCUGUUCCUGUUAGGAGAAAGCUGGAGGAGUGCCCUUUUGCCCAAGGUCUGAUCUCCCAGGGGCUGCUGAGAUGCUAGCUGAUCCCCUUGUUGCUGCAUAGCUACCUGUGUUUCAGUCAACAUAGUGGGUACACAGUGGUUCCAGUUUUCCCUGAUGUCCACAAGCAGAUGAAUUUCAAAGGUGUUUCCCAUGGAUGCUCCUGCAGGCAGUGAGGAGGCCAGAGAUAAAACAUAGCACCGUGUCAGCUAUCCAAUCACACACCGAUUCAGUAAGGCAGGGUGAGAAAACACUGAAAGCAGCUCUGAAGAACGGGCUUGGAGCUGCUGGGCUUAUCAGGGUGAUGGAAACACUCUGUGAGCAGAACGCUGUAGGAAUGAGAAUUAAUGAACUCAGGUGUCUACAGAGAUACUGUCCUUUGCUGAUGACCCUCAGCAUGGAACCCUAUAUGGCACCUUGUAACCAGACCAACGUGCCACUGUAUGGGCCUGUCCACCCUUGACAGCAGGUGCAGCCCCACAGAAUGAUGUGCAUUGUGAAGUUUUUCUGGCCCCACUGCAUCUCAGAUGAGUGACUUUGAGCAGUGCUAAUUUGAGAUAUCCCAGGUUUGGCCAGAGCUGCUGUCAUCAUGGUACCAUGGAGUCUAAAUGCAGCUGUGUUUUCUCAUCCCUAUGAGAUGUAAUUCAUCUGCACGUACCACAGAGCAUUUCCAUUCUGCCUCUUCAGGCUUGGGGCAGGUUUAAUACAGUCUGUGAGAAAGGCUUAAAACAGCAAGGUGGGAGAUUGAAUUAUGGUCUAAUCUGCCACUAAUAGAACCUGACCAGCUCCAUUAU